AUUGAACGCUGGCGGCAGGCCUAACACAUGCAAGUCGAGCGGAUGAGGGGAGCUUGCUCCCUGAUUUAGCGGCGGACGGGUGAGUAAUGCGUAGGAAGCUGCCCGAUAGAGGGGGAUACCAGUUGGAAACGACUGUUAAUACCGCAUAAUGUCUACGGACCAAAGUGUGGGACCUUCGGGCCACAUGCUAUCGGAUGCGCCUACGUGGGAUUAGCUAGUUGGUGAGGUAAUGGCUCACCAAGGCGACGAUCUCUAGCUGGUUUGAGAGGAUGGUCCGCCACACUGGAAAUGAGACACGGGCCAGACUCCUACGGGAGGCAGCAGUGGGGAAUAUUGGGCAAUGGGCGCAAGCCUGAUCCAGCCAUGCCGCGUGUGUGAAGAAGGCCUUCGGGUUGUAAAGCACUUUCAGCGAGGAGGAAGGGUGGUGUGUUAAUAGCACAUCAUUUUGACGUUACUCGCAGAAGAAGCACCGGCUAACUCUGUGCCAGCCGCCGCCGUAACAC
rnacentral:rRNA from 1 species